rnacentral:lncRNA from 1 species
GGGGGGGGGGUGUUGAGCGUAAAGCUAAAGGUGUGGUCUGGUCAUGAGUUGGAGGGUUCAUCUCCUUCCAUUGGGUCUUAUAUACGUUUUCUUCUACACAGUCUGUUAUACAUCAAUGGGUUCUGAUUGGAGUGGAUGAUUAUAGACCCUGUGGGGGGGGAUUCAAAAUGUUACCCUACCAGGUCUGGACUACUGCUGUUGUUCUCCUCUACCUGGUCAUUACUGGUACCCGCCUGGUGUCCCAGGUCUAAAUCAGGCCCUGAUUAGAGGGGGAACAAUGACUGGUGUCCCAGGUCUAAAUCAGGCCCUGAUUAGAGGGGGAACAAUGACUGGUGUCUCAGGUCUAAAUCAGUCCCUGAUUAGAGGGGAACAAUGACUGGUGUCUCAGGUCUAAAUCAGCCCCUGGUGUCCCAGGUCUUAAUCAGCCCCUGGUGUCCCUGGUCUAAAUCAGGCCCUGAUUAGAGGGGAACAAUGACUGGUGUCUCAGGUCUAAAUCAGCCCCUGGUGUCCCAGGUCUAAAUCAGGCCCUGAUUCGAGGGGGAACAAUGACUGGUGUCCCAGGUCUAAAUCAGCCCCUGGUGUCCCAGGUCUAAAUCAGCCCCUGGUGUCCCAGGUCUAAAUCAGCCCCUGGUGUCCCAGGUCUAAAUCAGGCCCUGAUUCGAGGGGAACAAUGACUGGUGUCCCAGGUCUAAAUCAGCCCCUGGUGUCCCAGAUCUAAAUCAGCCCCUGGUGUCCCAGGUCUAAAUCAGCCCCUGGUG